AUUGAACGCUGGCGGAAUGCUUUACACAUGCAAGUCGAGCGGCAGCACGGGGGUAACCCUGGUGGCGAGCGGCGAACGGGUGAGUAAUACAUCGGAACAUGCCCAGUCGUGGGGGAUAACACUUCGAAAGAAGUGCUAAUACCGCAUACGUCCUGAGGGAGAAAGCGGGGGAUCGCAAGACCUCGCGCGAUUGGAGUGGCCGAUGUCAGAUUAGCUAGUUGGUGGGGUAAAGGCCUACCAAGGCAACGAUCUGUAGCUGGUCUGAGAGGAUGAUCAGCCACACUGGGACUGAGACACGGCCCAGACUCCUACGGGAGGCAGCAGUGGGGAAUUUUGGACAAUGGGGGCAACCCUGAUCCAGCCAUGCCGCGUGAGUGAAGAAGGCCUUCGGGUUGUAAAGCUCUUUCGGCAGGAACGAAACGGUGAGCUCUAACAUAGCUUGCUAAUGACGGUACCUGAAGAAGAAGCACCGGCUAACUACGUG
rnacentral:rRNA from 1 species